AUUAUAAUAAUUAUAUUAUUUGCAUUAUAAUAAACUUAAUAAUAUUUAAUUGAGUCUCUAUGUUAAAUUAAUUCUGUUUUUGGACCUUCCGUCCUUGUGAAAUCAUUUAUAUCUAUUGUUUAUAAUUUUAUUAAGUGGUAAAAAAAUCUGUAAUAUCAAAUUUUUACAUUACGUGUUGUUGAGAGUGUUGCGAAUCGGUGAAAUUACUGCUCAGACUGUACAACCUAACCUAACCUAACCUCCGACUAUGGCGAGAGUCAAAGCCCUCCCAAAGAGGACCCUCCCCCUUU